UAGGGAAUCUUCGGCAAUGGGGGCAACCCUGACCGAGCAACGCCGCGUGAGUGAAGAAGGUUUUCGGAUCGUAAAGCUCUGUUGUAAGUCAAGAACGGGUGUGAGAGUGGAAAGUUCACACUGUGACGGUAGCUUACCAGAAAGGGACGGCUAACUACGUGCCAGCAGCCGCGGUAAUACGUAGGUCCCGAGCGUUGUCCGGAUUUAUUGGGCGUAAAGCGAGCGCAGGCGGUUUGAUAAGUCGGAAUUUAAAGGCUGUGGCUCAACCAUAGUUCGCUUUGGAAACUGUCAAACUUGAGUGCAGAAGGGGAGAGUGGAAUUCCAUGUGUAGCGGUGAAAUGCGUAGAUAUAUGGAGGAACGCCGGUGGCGAAAGCGGCUCUCUGGUCUGUAACUGACGCUGAGGCUCGAAAGCGUGGGGAGCGAGCAGG
rnacentral:rRNA from 1 species